ACUCCUACGGGAGGCAGCAGUGGGGAAUAUUGCACAAUGGGCGCAAGCCUGAUGGAGCAACACCGCGUGAGUGAAGAAGGGUUUCGGCUCGUAAAGCUCUGUUGUUAAAGAAGAACACGUAUGAGAGUAACUGUUCAUACGUUGACGGUAUUUAACCAGAAAGUCACGGCUAACUACGUGCCAGCAGCCGCGGUAAUACGUAGGUGGCAAGCGUUAUCCGGAUUUAUUGGGCGUAAAGAGAGUGCAGGCGGUUUUCUAAGUCUGAUGUGAAAGCCUUCGGCUUAACCGGAGAAGUGCAUCGGAAACUGGAUAACUUGAGUGCAGAAGAGGGUAGUGGAACUCCAUGUGUAGCGGUGGAAUGCGUAGAUAUAUGGAAGAACACCAGUGGCGAAGGCGGCUACCUGGUCUGCAACUGACGCUGAGACUCGAAAGCAUGGGUAGCGAACAGGAUUAGAUACCCUGGUAGGAUAGCG
rnacentral:rRNA from 1 species